rnacentral:lncRNA from 1 species
GUGUUUUGACAUUCUUUUAAUUUCUUUCUAGCAAAAAGCUGAAUUCCAAGUAGAGAUGCGUUGCUCCAAGUGUCAAAAGAAAGCCUUGCAGAUUGCAGCGGAAACUUACGGUUUGUAUUUACACACUUAAUUCAUCAGCUUUGAUUCAAUUUCAUAUUCGUAUGCAACCAUGUUCUGAAAAUCUGCAGUACAUCAGAUUUUUUUCCUUUCUUUCUUGAUUAUUAUUACAAGCAGCCUCGCAUUCCUGAUUCUCGAGUAUUGGAAACUGUUAAAUCACAUGAAUCCUUAGAAUAGAAUUCCAAAUCAGUACCUUUCGUUCUACUAAUAUUUUGACAAGAGUUGUGGUUUAGAUAGAACGAAGCACAGAAAAUUGUAAGUUGCGUUUAGAAGAAUAAUCCCUUACUAUGGCUUUUAUGGUAGAUUGAGUCGAUGGGUUGAAAGCCGGGGAUUAAUCCCAUGGCAGAGUAAGUUGUUUGAUUGAGCCCACAUCUCCAACUCAUUUAGCCCCCGUUUGCCUUACAAAUUUUCAAAACUUAUUCUUCUUCAAAUUCAUUUUCAACCACACAUUUCAUAGGGACGACAACUUGUCCACAAUUUUUAUUAAAUUUUCAACUGCAUAUUUCAUCAGUUUCAUCAAAAUCUACUAAAUCUCUAAUUUUUAGCUACACCAAAAAGGGCCUUAGUUUGAUCGCAUUGGUAAGUUUGAUUAAUUUUGAUAUAUAUGAUGAAUUUGCAGGUGUGAGCUCUCUAACAUUAGGAGGGCAGAAUAAGAACCAGUUGGUGGUGACUGGAGAAGGGAUGGACAUAACCAAGUUGUGUGUGAGACUAAGGAACAAGAUUGGAUACACACAAAUUGUCAGUGUAUCGGAGGUUAAAUGAAACCAACAUAAGAAAAAUGUCAUCCUAGGAAUCCCAGAGCUUGUUUGCACAAAUUAUUACGUUGUUUUGUAUGUGUCUAUUGUUGAACUCACGUCUAUCAAAUGAAAUAAUUAGUGUAUUAGACUGAACAGACCGGCAUAAAUAUAUACUUCUUAAUCCGUGUCCAUUACUUUUUAGAUUGCUCUUUAAUUUGAUAGGUA